AGGGGAUUGGUCAAGUGGUAUGACAGAAGUCUCCAAAACUUUUAGUGGGAGUUCGAUUCUCUCAUCCCCUGC
rnacentral:tRNA from 1 species